GGUCCUGUAGUCGUACCUGUUGUGCGACCCCUAUUACCCUACAUUAUGAAACCAUUAGAUGAGCUAAUAUACAUGCAUUUUUUUGCUAAAUGCAUCGACUACCACGUUACCCUUACUCGGAUGAUAUAAGAUGUUGUAAUCAUAGUCAUUGAGGAGUUCUAUCCAUUUUCUCUGAUGCACAUUUUGAGUGAAUAUGUGUUUCAAGCUCU
rnacentral:lncRNA from 1 species